CUACCUUGACCGACCCCUUCAGCCUGAAGCACCCCCCUCCACGUGAACACCCUAGCACACUGCGGGCCCAGAGGGGCCGGUCCUCUGCUCUUGGUAGGCUCUGCAACACAGCUACCACCUCAACUCAGCUGGGACGUCAGAUAUUGAUCAUCUAUGAAUGCAGGGAACCCCAGAGAAGACAACACCAGUGUUCAGAUGACAUUCAGCAAGUCCAAUGGCCCAAAAUGUCAGCUCUGCUAUUCUUGCUCUUAUGCUGUCCUGGAGGGAAUCUGAGUCAGAUAGACAUGAGAACAGAAGCACACCACUGACGCAUAAAGUUAAUUUUAUUUAGUACGCUCUAGAAGUGUAUGCUGGAUUGAUAGUCAGUCAGAG